rnacentral:rRNA from 1 species
UACCAGCACCCCGAGUGGUCGGGACGUUUAUUGGGCCUAAAGCAUCCGUAGCCGGUUCUACAAGUCUUCCGUUAAAUCCACCUGCUCAACAGGAUGGGCUGCGGAAGAUACUAUGGAGCUAGGAGGCGGGAGAGGCAAGCGGUACUCGAUGGGUAGGGGUAAAAUCCGUUGAUCCAUUGAAGACCACCAGUGGCGAAGGCGGCUUGCCAGAACGCGCUCGACGGUGAGGGAUGAAAGCUGGGGGAGCAAACCGG